GUGAGUAACACGUGGGCAACCUGCCUGUAAGACCGGAAUAACCCCGGGAAACCGGGGCUAAUGCCGGGUAACACUUUCUUCCGCAUGGAGGAGAGUUGAAAGAUGGCUUCUAGCUAUCACUUACAGAUGGGCCCGCGGCGCAUUAGCUAGUUGGUGAGGUAACGGCUCACCAAGGCGACGAUGCGUAGCCGACCUGAGAGGGUGAUCGGCCACACUGGGACUGAGACACGGCCCAGACUCCUACGGGAGGCAGCAGUAGGGAAUCUUCCGCAAUGGACGAAAGUCUGACGGAGCAACGCCGCGUGAACGAUGAAGGUCUUCGGAUCGUAAAGUUCUGUUGUUAGGGAAGAACAAGUACCGUGCGAAUAGAGCGGUACCUUGACGGUACCUAACGAGGAAGCCCCGGCUAACUACGUGCCAGCAGCCGCGGUAAUACGUAGGGGGCAAGCGUUGUCCGGAAUUAUUGGGCGUAAAGCGCGCGCAGGCGGUUUCUUAAGUCUGAUGUGAAAGCCCACGGCUCAACCGUGGAGGGUCAUUGGAAACUGGGGAACUUGAGGACA
rnacentral:rRNA from 1 species